AUCCGUUGAUCCUGCGGAGGGUUGCUGCUAUUUGGAUUCGAUUUAGCCAUGCAAGUUCAGAUGCGCAAGCAUCGGCAAACUGCUCAGUAACACGUCGAUAAUCUGCCCUUAGGUAUGGGAUAGCCACGGGAAACUGUGGGUAAAACCGUAUAGGAGAGAGAGGCUGUAAUGCGCUUUCUUUUAAACGUAAGGCCUAAGGAUGAGUCGGCGGCUGAUUAGGUUGUUGGCGGUGUAACGGACCACCAAGCCUAAAAUCAGUAGGGGCCCUGAGAGGGGGAGCCCCGAGAAGGGCACUGAGAUACUGGCCCUAGCCCCACGGGGUGCAGCAGGCGCGAAAACUUCGCAAUGCACGAAAGUGUGACGAGGGAAUCCAAAGUGCUUAUACUUUUGUAUAGGCUUUUGCCAAAAGUAAAUAUUUUGGCGAAUAAGUGGUGGGCAAGACUGGUGCCAGCCGCCGCGGUAACACCAGCGCCACAAGUGGCAACCGUAUUUAUUUGGCCUAAAGCGUUCGUAGCUGGUUAGGUAAAUUUUCUGUGAAAUUGUGUAGCUUAACUAUACAACGGGCAGGAAACACUGCUUAGCUAGGGACCGGGAGGGGUAUGGAGUAUUCUUGAGGGAGCGGUAAAAUGCUAUAAUCUCUUGCAGACUACCUGUGGCGAAGGCGCCAUACCAGAACGGAUCCGACAGUGAGGGACGAAAGCCAGGGGAGCAAUCCGGAUUAGAUACCCGAGUAGUCCUGGCCGUAAACGCUGCGAGCUAGGUGUCACAUAUUCUUUGAGAAUGUGUGGUGCCGAAGCGAAGGCAUUAAGCUCGCCGCCUGGGAAGUACGGUCGCAAGACUGAAACUUAAAGGAAUUGGCGGGGGAGCACCACAAGGGGUGCGGCGUGCGGUUUAAUCCAACUCAACGCGGAGAAUUUCACCAGAAGCGACGGCAGAAUGAAGAUCAGUCUAAAGGGCUUAUCCAACGAGCCGAGAGGUAGUGCAUGGCCGUCGUCAGCUCGUGCCGUAAGGUGUCCUGUUAAGUCAGGCAACGAGCGAGACCUGCACGUUCAAUUGCGAGCGAGUCCAGUGAUGGAUGUUUGUGCACAUUGAACGAACUGCCCUCGAAAGGGGGAGGAAGGCGCAGGCCACGGUAGGUCUGUAUGCUCCGAAUCUUCUGGGCUACACGCGCGCAACAAUGGUAAGGACAAUGGGAUGCAACACCGAAAGGUGAAGCUAAACCUCUAAACCUUAUCCUAGUCCAGAUUGAGGAUUGUAACUCAUCCUCAUGACGUCGGAAUCCCUAGUAAUCGGACCUCAUCACAGUCCGGUGAAUAUGUCCCUGCUCCUUGCACACACCGCCCGUCAAACCAACCGAGCAGGGUUUAGAUGAGAUCCAGUUAUCUUGAUUGUAUCGAAUCUAAGCUCAGUGAGGUGGGUUAAGUCGUCACAAGGUA
rnacentral:rRNA from 1 species